CUCAAGUAUUAGACGUAUCGAC
rnacentral:miRNA from 14 species